UCUUUAUUUCACUCGCUCUCUCGCCGGUCAGAGAGGCGAGAGAGUGUGUGAAAUGGAGAGA
rnacentral:pre_miRNA from 1 species